CACUUCUAAGCUGUACCUCCUUAACACUGAGUAAAUUGCCUUAAGCAAUUGCCUAGCAUUAAAACAGACACUGAUGUAGAGCCUCAGAUGAUGUUUUGUUUCAGAGCUGGGACAGGUUAAGAGUACACAUGACUUUUACUGUGGAUUAAUGAGAAGGGGUUGCAAACACCAGUCGUCUUCUUUGAAGAGAACUGGGAACUGAAAUCAGGGUCAAAGGAUGCUGAAUAACAUCUUUGUGCUGAGCAGAGAGAUGAAAGGGAAGAUAUUUUCUUUAUGUUUUGAUGUCAAUUAACUCAGCUGCUUUCCAUGUCUGCUUUUCCUUUUCAGGCCACUCUAACCUUUCUUCUCUCCUUAAUAUAAGGGCUAUAUUUCUGUCUCCUAAUGAAUAGCUGCAGCAACAGCAGAUGGCCUGAUGAUGUGGUUUGGGUUCUGUGCUUGAGGAUCCACUCUGUGCUUUGGAAACAGCUGAAUUUUGACAGCCAUUUGGACACCAUGGUCUGAGGGAACCAGUGAACCAUAUAAAAGCACAGCAUCCCCUAAUUUAGCAGUUAAAAUCGUGGGAACAGGAAACACUGCUGAAGUAGCAACUGGAGAUAAAGAUAUGCUUUCAGGAAGUACCCCACUGGAGGGUACAUUCUUGGCUUUUUUUUUUUUUUUUUGGUCACCACCACAGCUCAGGAAAGCAGGAUUAGAUGAAAUAGUCUGCCCUAGGGAAGCCCGAGCAGCUCUUGCUGUGGCAUACUGUCAGUUGUGUUGGUGUGGCACCUAAUGAGGAAAUAAUUGCAUGUAUCCUGGUGUCCAGAAAUAGUCUCUGAUGGGGUUGUCACAUGGCAAAUCAGCCUGUAGCUGCUGGGACAUCAGUCCAGAUGUGAAGAAGCUGUGUUGGUUCCAGCAGCUAACUUUACAAAUAAAUGUAGCAAAAAUGGUCUUGGGAGGACAAGGUUUUUGUUGGCUCUGCUAAACCUAAAGGCAUCCCUGUAGGCAGGUCAGGCUUAGCCAUCAUUAUGGCAACCUUGGGUCUGACCCAAAGCCUAUGAAGUCAAAGAGAAUCUAUCCAGUGAUUCCAGCAAGGCUUGGAUCUGUCGCACUGGGGACAGAACAGAAAAUUGUUUUCCUCCAGUUCUCCCCCGUAGAACAAUUUUGGAGCUCUUGCGUCUUUCAUUUUUCUCUUUCCAGACCCUCUGUCUCUCUUGCCCUCUAAUAUUAUUUCUCUCUCUCUUCUUUGGCAGCAAACUGCUCUGGAAAAGUCAGAGGAGAAACAUGAUCAGGCUGUUUUCUUCACUCGCAUGCCGCCCUCGGCAUUGUCUCGGGUAACCAGGCUGCUGUUUGUUAACCAUCAUUACCUAUUUCAAGUGGAAUUGUUAUCUGGAGCUCCAGGUUCAUCAGGCAAACUGGUUCAGUGUAGCAAAAAUACUGCUUUUUAUUUGUUUAUUCUGUUUUUUAUUGCUCUUUUACAGGCAAUGUCCAGGCCCAAGUCACUGCAGAUGUCCAACCAAAGUCCGUCAUUAGAGGCCAGUUGCAUAUUAUCACCUCUCAGGAUGCGGAACUUGCACUGCUGAGCAAUGCCACCCUUUGUCCUUCCCAUGCUUUCCUCUGCAUCUGAUACACAGAGCUGCAUCUGGAACUAUUUGCUGGGGUUUAGAUAUUUUCUCAUUGUGCUGUGCCAUAGCUCAAAUCCGGUAGUAGCUCUUGUGCUUCCUUUCUGAGUGCCACUGAACCUUACCUGUGUUUUGCCCAUGUAUUACCAUGGUUUCUACCUGGAUAAAGGAACAGGGAAUCUGCCAGGAGGUCUAAUGCAAGAAUCCCUCCUGUAGAUGAGUGACUCAGAGUCACUGUCUUUAGCAUCCCUGCAACAAACCCUCCACCAGCAUUUCCUGCUCCUUACCUACCUAUAGGAAAGAUGAGACAACAAAUGCAAAAAGUAGGGGCUCAACUAAGUUACCUAUACAAGGGAAUCUUGUGUUAUUGGAGAUGCCUUAGACACAACUUCAACAUAGUAUGGCAGAUAUGACACAAGAUCUGUCUCCUCCCAGAGCAGUACUGGGCACCCACAUAAGGUAUCCAAAGGUAUUGAAUGACCUGUGUGUAGGCAGCUGAGUUCUCUCAAGGCUGCACAUAGAUCCUGUGCUAGUGCAGGAAACUGCACCUCAAUAUAAUAAGUUACAGCCCUUUGUUAUCAUUUUUACAUGGUUACACUUCAUGCAGCCAAAUCAGAGUUGUCCUUGAGAACAACCAGAAUGUCCUUUAUCCAAAUCCAGAUAUCCUAUUUUGUUUAUGAUACCAAAUUCAAUGGUACAUGGAACAGAGUAAUCUCUAAAAAAAGAUAAAUGCAGGUAAACGAUGGCUGGAAGAAGUCUGGGAUAAUCAAGCACCAGGCCAUAUCCCCUCUGAGGUUCAGCAACUGGAUUUCUACAUUUGUUAUAAGAAACAGAGUGCUAUUCCCUUACAGUCACAACAACAGCAGGACAACCAUAUGAGACUGAUUAUGUUACAAUGAGCCCUGCAAUGAAAGACAUUUCACUUCAUCUGUGGCUCCAGAGCAGACUUUCUGGAUGAAAUGAGAAAGCUGUCAUGGUCUGGAAACCAAGACAAUGAACUGGGACUCAGGAGACUAGAAUGGAUAUCUGGCUCAUAAGAUAUGACCAGAAGGGAGAAUUAAAUCUUAUUAUCCGAUAUGGAAAUCAUGGCUUAAAAAUUUAAACGGUCACCCUUCUCCUGAAUCCAAUAACAGCUGUUCACCUUGGGAACUUUUGUCAUAAAGUCAUUCUGUCCCAAAACAGGAGAGCCUCAUAGAUUGCUCCAGUGGUAAAUCACCAUCACUUCUUAAUUCUCAGCUAAAUUAAUAUAGCUUCAUAUUCCAAAGUUUGGAUUUAUUAGAUCCUUUUCUGCUAGGUAGAAGGAGUCUGUAAGUCCUGCAUGUUUUUUUGUUAGAAUACUUACACAUAAGCUUAGCAGUAUGCAAUUCUGAAUAAUAAAUGCCAAUUUUACACUCUUUCCUCAGUUACAAAUGAAUACAUCUCUCUUCUUUGUCUUUCUCACAGGCACUCUGUGGGGCUGCAACAUAUAGAAUAUCUGAAAUAGCUCUGGCAUAUAUGGCACAGGACCUACAAACCACAGGUCUUCUGGGCUGGCAGCUGCAAUCCAAGCAGGGUACCUUGGGUCCUUUCAGAUGGCACCAGGCACCUCUGCUUAAGUAACAGACCUCCCUCUCUUAACUCACAUUGCAGACAUGGACAUUGUGGCUACUUUUUUUUAUUAUUAUUAUUUUUUAAUAAUUUAUUUCAAAUAUGAGAAUCUGGAGCUAAAUGCAGCCUGAGGUGUCACUGUGAGAAGCUUAGCAUUGACUCUGUGCCCUUACUUGAUCUCUGGCCUUGUUUCUUGUGUACUUCUAGAAGGGAUGCCAAGCAGUGAGCAAAUGUUCUAAAAUAAUAUUCCUACCUGUCAAAAACAGCACUUCUGAGAUGUCAUUUUAAAUAGUAAAGGAUUCUUGAAAUGAAAAAGUCCAUGUAUUCCUGAAUAAAAUCAACAACUAGAACAACUCUGUCACCAGAGACCCAUGAGUGAAGCUUUCUUUCACUUUGGAUUUUAAAGACAGUAAAUUUAUGGUCGUACUUCACUACAACAGAACAUUAGAAGAAUAUUACAUUUGUUCUGGCCCAGUGCUGAAGCAUGAUGUCACUUUAAUAAAAUCAUGGUUUGCUGAUGUCCUGGAAUCUCUAAGAUUGUUUAUAGUUCCCAGAUGAUAUUCCCUGCAAAGGUGUUUUCUGUUUCAUUUUGGUCUGGUUUUGUUUUCAGUUUGGACUUUUCACAUUCUAGAGGCAUGCUUUUUAAAAUGAAAAAGGUAUUAUAUUCUCAAACUCAGAAGAAACCCUUUGUUUAGCAAAUACCCCUUGAUCAGGACCUUGCAUAACAAUGAACAUGUUGAGUGGAUCCAUAGAAAACCGUAUAAGUCUGAGGCUAAAUAUAUCCAUGCUGGAAUAAAUAACACUUGAUGAUUGUUUGGGCUCAUUAGCAGGCAGAAGAGUAACCCAAUGGGAAAUUCAUCUUUUUCAAGCAUUGUUUCCCUCAUCAGGUGCUACGUUCUGGAUAUGUAAAAGUCCUUGGAGUAUACAGUAGAAGCUUAAAUAAAAUAAAAUAAAAUAAAAUAAAAUAAAAUAAAAUAAAAUAAAAUAAAAUAAAAUAAAAUAAAACAAAUAA
ensembl:lncRNA